rnacentral:rRNA from 1 species
AGCAGCCGCGGUAAUUCCAGCUCCAAUAGCGUAUAUUAAAGUUGUUGCAGUUAAAAAGCUCGUAGUUGAAUUUCGGAAUUUGUGGGUUGGUCGGGCUUCACUGUCCGCACUGACCCGAUGAAUUCCUACCUUCUGAAUAACCUUCAUGCUAUUAAGUUAGUGCGUUGGGGAAGCAGAGCUAUUACCUUGAAAAAAUUGAGUGCUUAAAGCAGGCUUAUGCUUGAAUAGAUUAGCAUGGAAUAAUAAAAUAGGACGGCAUGGUUCUAUUUUGUUGGUUUCUAGGAUCACCGUAAUGAUUAAUAGGGAUAGUUGGGGGCAUUAGUAUUCAAUUGUCAGAGGUGAAAUUCUUGGAUUUAUUGAAGACUAACUUCUGCGAGAGCAUUUGCCAAGGAUGUUUUCAUUAAUCUAAAGAACGAAAGUUAGGGGAUCGAAGACGAUCAGAUACCGUCGUAGUCUUAACCAUAAACUAUGCCGACUAGGGAUCGGAUGAUGUAUUUAUGA